AGUGAACGCUGGCGGUAGGCCUAACACAUGCAAGUCGAACGGCAGCACAGUAAGAGCUUGCUCUUACGGGUGGCGAGUGGCGGACGGGUGAGGAAUACAUCGGAAUCUACUUUUUCGUGGGGGAUAACGUAGGGAAACUUACGCUAAUACCGCAUACGACCUACGGGUGAAAGCAGGGGAUCUUCGGACCUUGCGCGAUUGAAUGAGCCGAUGUCGGAUUAGCUAGUUGGCGGGGUAAAGGCCCACCAAGGCGACGAUCCGUAGCUGGUCUGAGAGGAUGAUCAGCCACACUGGAACUGAGACACGGUCCAGACUCCUACGGGAGGAAGCAGUGGGGAAUAUUGGACAAUGGGCGCAAGCCUGAUCCAGCCAUACCACGUGGGUGAAGAAGGCCUUCGGGUUGUAAAGCCCUUUUGUUGGGAAAGAAAAGCAGCAGGUUAAUACCCCGCCGUUCUGACGUUACCCAAAGAAUAAGCACCGGCUAACUUCGUG
rnacentral:rRNA from 1 species